AGUGAACGCUGGGGGUAGGCCUAACACAUGCAAGUCGAACGGCAGCACAGUAAGAGCUUGCUCUUACGGGUGGCGAGUGGCGGACGGGUGAGGAAUACAUCGGAAUCUACUUUUUCGUGGGGGAUAACGUAGGGAAACUUACGCUAAUACCGCAUACGACCUACGGGUGAAAGCAGGGGAUCUUCGGACCUUGCGCGAUUGAAUGAGCCGAUGUCGGAUUAGCUAGUUGGCGGGGUAAAGGCCCACCAAGGCGACGAUCCGUAGCUGGUCUGAGAGGAUGAUCAGCCACACUGGAACUGAGACACGGUCCAGACUCCUACGGGAGGCAGCAGUGGGGAAUAUUGGACAAUGGGCGCAAGCCUGAUCCAGCCAUACCGCGUGGGUGAAGAAGGCCUUCGGGUUGUAAAGCCCUUUUGUUGGGAAAGAAAAGCAGCAGGUUAAUACCCCGCUGUUCUGACGGUACCCAAAGAAUAAGCACCGGCUAACUUCGUG
rnacentral:rRNA from 1 species